GCUGUAGCUCAGUGGUAGAGCUUCUGCUUUGCAUGCACAGGGUCCCAGGUUCAAUCCCCAGCAUCUCCA